AACACCCUAAAUCAAGAUCAGUAUUUGCUGUAGCUGUUGGUUUCAGACAGGAGCCAAGAAUAAUGUCUUCAUUGGCCUGUUGGCUAGUCAGCAUCUCUGUGGGAAUGGCUAAUUCAUUUGGAAGCAUAGUCU
ensembl:snoRNA